GGAGAGGGCUAGCGUUAUUCGGAAUUAUUGGGCGUAAAGGGCGCGUAGGCGGAUUAGUAAGUUAAAAGUGAAAUCCCAAGGCUCAACCUUGGAAUUGCUUUUAAAACUGCUAAUCUAGAGAUUGAAAGAGGAUAGAGGAAUUCCUAGUGUAGAGGUGAAAUUUGUAAAUAUUAGGAGGAACACCAGUGGCGAAGGCGUCUAUCUGGUUCAAAUCUGACGCUGAGGCGCGAAGGCGUGGGGAGCAAACAGGAUUAGAUACCCUGGUAGUCCACGCUGUAAACGAUGAAUGUUAAAUAUGGGGAGUUUACUUUCUGUAUUACAGCUAACGCGUUAAACAUUCCGCCUGGGGACUACGGUCGCAAGAUUAAAACUCAAAGGAAUUGACGGGGACCCGCACAAGCGGUGGAGCAUGUGGUUUAAUUCGAUGCAACGCGAAAAACCUUACCACUCCUUGACAUGGAAAUUAUACCUAUUCGAAGGGAUAGGGUCGGUUCGGCCGGGUUUCACACAGGUGU
rnacentral:rRNA from 1 species